rnacentral:lncRNA from 1 species
ACAUUGAUGCUACAAUUAUAGGAGAACCUGUUGAGAAGUGCUUACAAUGUUCCGCACUCACAUUGAUGAAACACAACUCUGGUACCUACCUCAAACACAUUGUUAAAUUAUUAUACUAUCAUACAUUCAAUUACAUUGCUAAAUCCAACACAAUCCUAUUUUAGCAUGAGAAGACAAACCUCACAGAACCCAUCCAUGCCUCAUCAGAUUAAGAUCUAUUUUUCUAUGUAAAAGCAAUAAAAUAAAACAAUGGAGAAGAAUACGAGCACAAUGUAAUCUUCAUUGUAAAUCCAUCUUCAACAACAGGAAAAAGGCCAUAUGCAAGCAUUGAUAAAACCACAUCUCUAACUCCAUUUGCUGAAUCACUACACCUCACCAUGAUUCUAACGCAUCAUCACCAAAAAGAGUUGUUCUUAACUUCUAGUCCUUUGCAGUUCAAAAACAAACAAGAUGACAGAGAUGAUAGUGGCAAAGGUUUUGCAUUGAAGUAUGAUGAGUAUUCUGACUGAUGUAAAAUGUUUCAACAUUGGAGAAAUGAUGCAAGUUAGAAAUGGUUUUUGCUCUUUUUGUCUCAUACCAGUUAGUGCAAGAUGUAACAAGAAAUAGAUUCUGGAAUUUUUAAAUGAACUUUAAAAUAUCACUUUUAUUUUAAGCUACUCAUGAAGCAGCUAUCAAACCAAACAUUAUAUGUAGUUUGGCUCUUUAACUGUUCUACAUUCAUACUCUGCUAAUCUGUUCAGUUAUAUUAAAUAGUAUGAUGAUUUUUGGUAUUUACUAUCUUUUUCGUUAAUGUUCAGAUCAUCUAUAUCCAUUGUGUAGAUUGUACAAGUUCUGAUUAAUUCUUGACAUUUUACUUUUGCCAUCAUUUCUCAACAAUUCUAAUUUAUACAAAAAAUAUUUCUUUUUCCUUCGACACUGCUACUGACACGACCCGUCCGAAUCAUCCUAGUAGAUCUGAUAUGUGUCGUGUGCUGAUGGUAGAUACCAGCUAAACGCCGAACCCAUCACCAAGGCAACUGUGACUUGCUUGACUGAAAAAUAUUUUUAACAAAAUUUUUACAGAGUUUCUCCUAAAAUAUGAACUAAAACCACCUGAACAAUAACCAAGUUUCCUCAAUUCAUUACCUAUAAUAUAAAACAGGGUACGCCAGUCCCUCAGAAUACAAACUAUGCAAAUAAAAUGCUGGCCAUUCAAUAUUUACUUGCUUUACAACCAACAACCCUCAAAUAUACCAAAUACAUCAAAUAUGUAAUGAACCCAUGAUGAAUUUUUUUGAUUUAAGAUACAUGUACCCCAAAAGAACACAUAUUGUAUAAUCUAAUAAAGAAUGUCAUACAAUCUACAAAGCAUGGCUCAAUUCAAUGGUUUAAUAGGCUCUAAAACUGCUCAAUUCGGCUGUUAACUGAUAAAGAAAAUGUUGAAAAGAUGCAUGAGCUUAUUGCUCAGUGAGUGGAUAAUUUGCAAAUGAACAUAUUUUUCUUUUAUGCAUAUAUUCUGAAAAUUCUAACUCUUUUAAAACUUUGAGAAACUCUGAAAUCCAGCAACACUUUUAAAACUAAACAUGAGUGCAUUAUAAAAUUAUUUGUUCUUAAUUCUGGAUAAGCGACUAUAAAGUAUAAUGACAUAAAUAAUCUGAUAUCCAUGAAAAUCUAUGAAAUAUUGUUGUUACUCAAUGCUAUAAGCUGAAUACUUUAUUCUGAAAACUGAAUUAACUGAAUUCUAUAAUCUGAAAUCUAAUAAACUGUAUAAAUACUGAAAAAUCACACAAAAAGGUACCCAAUGAAUAGCCUUGCUCAUGUACAGAGUAAUCUCGAUGUACAAGGCAAAGACAUUCAAAUCUGAUAAUCUAGUAAUCUGAUAAUCUGGUCAUACGUACGCAGAGCUGCCCCAAAGGCUAAUUACCUUAGUACAUGGCCUAAAGCCUAUUUGUGCAUGAGAGUGGGUCCCAAAGACCUCUGAUAAUCUGAUAAUCUGGUCAUACACUAUGGAAACACAUUCACAAUAAUGCAGAGCGCGUAAAAUCACCAUACCUGAUCAUACACUGUGGAAACACAUUCACACCAGUGCAGAUUGAAGUAAAAUCACCUGGAUACUUUAUGGUGAUUUUUAGAAAUAACUUUAACUAUACUGAAACAUAUAAUACGAAUAGAACAUGCUACUAAAAUGAUUUAACCGAACUGAAUCAAACAAUAAAAAGAACUAAUUAUAAAAUCAGUUUUUAUUCUGAAAAUCAUGCUAUCAACUUAGCCUUAUAAAAUAAGUAACUUCAAAAUUUAAUGAAUACUUAUUUUUGAAAAAUAAGUCUUAUCCACUCACUGCUCUAUGGAUAAAAUUUUUGGCUAAAUUAAUGGGUAUCUCCAAACUUUCACGUCAUUACCUGAAAUAACAGUAUAAUAACUCAAAUUAAAAUAUGACAAUUAAACUAAUGCAAAGUCACCACCUAAUUCCUCAACUUUCAAAUUUUCUCUUGAAUCUCCGUUUCUCGAUACUUGAAUGAAUUCCCCAAAUUUUCUUCUCUCUAACGAUUUAUCAACUAAUUACCAUUCGUUAUCAAAUUCAUUAAAUCACUUGCACUUCCUUAAAAUUGCUACCUUAUUCAUAUACAACCCCUAUAUCAAAUUUAGUCAAAUACAUAAACUUCAAUAUUUGUAAUAUAACUUCAUUCAAACCUUUAAAAAUCUGAAAAUAAGAGCUUUGACAAAAAAAACAAUAUAAUCCCAUAAUAUUAAAAUCUGGUAUCAAAACCUUUGACAGAAAUAGCGCUAUUCUGGGCAGAUUUUCAAUAACAGCACCUGAAUAAGAUUUUGUCCAAAAAUGACUUAUAUUAAUUACUUAAAAAUGGAGAAAUCAACCCCAAAUCCUUAAUUUAAGUGCUUGACAUCAUAUAAUCCCAAAAUGAUCAAAGAAUAAAUAUCCAUUUCAUAAACCCAUUUACAAAGUUCCACUCUUUAUUCAACUUCAACAUUCAAAUAAAUAUAUUUCUUCGCUAUAUUUCUAAUUAUAACACCAAAUACAUAUUAAUAAUACCUAAUUCUAGCUAAGUUUUGAAUUGAAACAAAUUUUCCAUAAAGCCUAAGAAAAUUUAAUUCAAUAUACUUGUUCUUACCUCUCUAAAUUAAAUGAGAAAUUGAAGAAUAGAGCACCAAGCUUGGAAAUCCACUUCCUCUUCUCCUCCUCCUCCUCUUCCUUUCUUUCUUCUCUUCUCUCGGUCUUUCUCGACUUUUCC